UUACGGCCAUAUCACGUUGAAACACCGGUUCUCGUAUGGUCGCAGAAGUUAAGCAAAGUUGAACCUGGUCAGUAUAUAUAAAAAAAUAUGGGUGACCACUUGCGAAUACCAGGAGCUGUAAG